CCCCCCAGUGAUGAUCUUAAUGCCGCCCCAGUCUGAUGCUGGUGAAUGACAGGCUUUUCGCUCUGAGGAA